GUCCACGCUGUAAACGAUGUGCACUAGGCGUGGGGCCCGUACGGGUUCUGUGCCGUAGUUAACGUGGUAAGUGCACCGCCUGGGGAGUAUGCUCGCAAGGGUGAAACUCAAAGGAAUUGACGGGGGCCCGCACAAGCGGUGGAGCAUGUGGUUUAAUUCGAUGGUACACGAGGAACCUUACCAGGGCUUGACAUGUGCGUGAAUGUCUGUGAGAGCGGGCAGCCCCGCAAGGGGCGCGCACACAGGUGCUGCAUGGCUGUCGU
rnacentral:rRNA from 1 species